CAUACCGGACUUCAUCCAUGCCGCCACCACGUUUUGCGCGUCCCGAGCUGAAUGGCAUCAUAACUGUGCGACGCUUCCAGCGUCCUCAGCUUGAAACCGAAGCGCCGAUUAGAAAAGGUGACCUGAAAGAGCCGUUGGAAGCUGUAGCUGGUCGAGUGGGCUUGCGAGCACGAUGUUCCACGAGCGCACCGUCCGCCGACUUGUGUCUUGUCGACGAUCAAGAGCUUGUGCUCAUGGGAAAGCUAGUGGACAAAGGAGUGUACUAUAUCACAGGGGGCGUUUGUAUCGAUGCAGAGGGCAGCGAUACAUCAUCACAAAGCCCCACAGCGGCUCUUGUGAGCAGCACGGCAUGUGGGGCGGCACCUCAGCCUCCCGACAUCACCGUGGGGUGGUGUUUCGACGCGCGCAUGCUGCUACAUCGCUCUGACAUGAACCGCUCCCCCGAGACACCACACCGUCUGCAACGCGCAAUCGAGACACUUCAGGGCUGCGAGCGCGCGCUCGACGUUCUGCCUGUCGAGCUGCUGGCUCCCUUUACGAUGCACAGGGAUAGCAGCUCAGGCUCGGACUUGGGCCGAGCGGUGCCACCGAUCAGCGCAGCCAACCGCUCGCAAUGGAUACCUGCACGGCUCGCCACUUAUGACGAGGUUUGCUCCUUCCAAGAUCCGCAAGUCUACGAACAUUUUUUGAAGAGUGGGGCGGCUCUGGUGAACUUGAAAAGCGACGUUUACUGCAACGACGAGACAAGCAGCGUAGCUGUCCGACUCUCGGCAGGCGCCGUGAUCGACGCUAGCGUCGCCGCGCUUCGCGGUGUGGCGGCUUCCCGCUCCGACACCGCCUCCAGCGCUGCGGGGCGUGUGCACCCCCUCGUGUCAUUUUGUCUUGUGCGGCCGCCGGGGCAUCAUUGCACGGCUUCACAGCCGAGCGGAUUUUGCCUGGUCAACAAUGUCGCCAUCGCAGUUCAGCAACUGCGCAUUCGGCACGCAUCAGCGUUGCCCUCUGGCCCUCCGCGCAUCGCAAUUCUCGAUCUGGACGUCCACUUCGGCGAGGGAACCGCUUCUUUUGUUGAGGGUGCCUGCGACCCCGCCUCGCUGCUGUAUCUUUCGCUCCACCGCUACGAUAAAAGGCAGUUCUAUCCAUUUGACGGCCGCGGCGACACGGCUUACGUGGGAGGGAGCCGACACGCCGCCUCCAAAGGCAGCAUCUGUAAUGUGGCCGUGCACACCAACGGGCAACAGCCGGCACGAUGUGAGCAGGUCAUCUCCGACCACCUAAUGAACUCUGUUUUGGAGGAAAUUUUCUUGCCCCGGCUGGCUGAGUUUGGGCCCGACCUGGUCAUGGUGUCAUUGGGGUUCGAUGCUGCCUAUGGCGAUCCAUUGGGCAAGAUGGCUGUCGAGGGUGGAUUUGCCUCGGUCCUGUCGCGGCUGAAGUGGUGGUGCCUGCAUGACGGACGGACAGCGGGGUUGGUCGUUGUUCUGGAGGGCGGCUACAACCCGGAGGCAGUUGCGCAAGGGGUGCUUUCGGUCGCUCUUGCCUUGAGCCUUCCUCGCACCGACCCGUUGCUGCAGCGAUUUCUUGAGGAAAAGUCACCGAAGGUCUGGUCAGACCUGCGGCAACGGCAAGAGCGGCGUCAUCGCGAGUGGCAGCAGCUGCGAGAGGAGCGGGCAGAGGAGGAUGUCGGAGCCGCACCCAGCGGCCGGGGCUCUGAAUUGAAGCCGGCUGCAUCGGAUGAACCAGAGCAGGUGCAAGAAGACGCGUUGCUCCUGGAUCGUCACAAGCGCUGGUGCGCCGCACUGGUAGCCAAGGUUCAGCAAAUACACCGGGAAGCCAUGACACGUGAGCACUAGUUUCUCAUCCCCGCGUGCCUCGUGUGCCACAAACCUUAGCGUUUUGACUGAGGCGUCUGCUGUCCACAAACAUCAACACGCGACACUGUGCGCUUCCCAGCUCUACACCCACGGCGGCGGCGACUAGUAAGGAAUCUUGCUAUAUGUGCGUUGUACUGAAAGACCCGAUCAAGCACGUGCCAGCUUGUGAUCGCCGAUCGGUGUGACAUGCACGUACUUCUGCUGCUUUUCUCCUGCACCCCCGCACACUCUCGAGGCUCGUCGACAUUUUGUCCCUCCCCGCCUCCUAGCUCCUUACACAAAGAACUAUCCGUUUGUUUCGCGCCAGUUCCAUUACGCUUUCUUUCCACCUUCCUUCCACCGAGCCCCCCCCCCCCCCCCCCCCCAACAUCGACCAGGAGUACAAAACACCAGCACACGCGCCACGUCGUCCCCACGCCCACUCACGGUGACGCCUCCAUCGCGCAAAGCUCAGCAUUCACCGGCCCCGAUUCGUGUUGGCGCGCAGCGCAUGCACCGGGAAUGUGUGACGUGCGUCGCUGCGCGCCUCGCCGUCUCCCCUGCGUGCGCGAUGCAUGGAUGCACCGCUGUUGUGUGAGGUUGUCCGCGCCUGCGUUGCCUGU
rnacentral:misc_RNA from 1 species